CCACUAAACACUCUCGGAGAGCGCAGCAGACCUUAAAGGGACAUCUCCCGGUUCAUAAUUAAUAAGUGUCUGCCGCCGGCCAGCCCCUGUCCCAGUAGGGCAGGAGUGAGCUGGGUGUGCUACACAGCCACCUCUCUCGCCUUAAGAACAGAAGAAACACGUCGUUGAGGUAGGGGGGUGUGUUGGACUGCUCGAGUUUAAUUUCUCUGACAUCACCCCUGAAAAACGCACUCUUACGGCCGGUCAUUUGCCCGCAAGAGGAAGCCAGCCACCCCCUCCCCAUUCUCGGCGGCUCUGGAGACACAGUAACUCUUCAGACAGUGGGCGAUUCUCUCGAGUCUCUGCGUCCUCCUGUGCUUCGCUGCAUAAAUACCAGACAGCUGCCUUUGCCCUCCUCUAUCGAACGUUUGCAUGGCAUGCCUUCCCACUCUCCCUGCCCCCAAAACGACUUCCCUAGUAAAUAACUGAAUAAAUAGCAAAGGUAAUAAUCAGCCAGAUUCAAGCCCUUGAGCGGAGAUUUUCAGGGUUUGUUGCACACUCAGGAAAGGAGUAGUUUUGCAGGACUUUUUGAGUUUUUGCAGGACUUUUGAGCACCAGACUGAUGCUCAAGUGAAGUCACACCCCUUCAGCAGUGUAUGAGAUGCCACACUGGACCUGGUGAAAAAUCAUUUUAUUGUUUAUAAAACAAGGGAAUUCACAGUCCCUCAAGAAAGAAAAAGAAAAACCAAAUACAAGGAUUUGGAAAAUUGGUGCUUCUAGAAAAAUCCUGUAUCAUUUCCUUGACUUGGAGCAAAGGAUUUGGUGAGUUAGUGGAAGUUAGUGGAAUUUUGAGACUUUAUACACAGAUGCUCCCAAAAUAAGAUUUCUCCUCCUGUCAACCUAGAAGCUGAAAGAACCAAGGAGUACCAGAGCCCGUAAUGUGGAGAACCCUUUCUGAGACACAUGGAGAGAGAGGAGGGGGAGCUUGUGGACAUGGAGGGAGACUGGGCCUUCCACGGUAACAGACUGCUCCAAAUCCACCAAGACCCUGCCAGUAAAUACGUUGCUUGAACAAGUUUUCUUCAGCUUCAUCUCACCAACAGCAAAGGGAUGUGUUUGAACAUAAGACAUUAAGAAGAUCGUUUAUUUCAACACUUGCAAAGAUAUAGCAUAAAACAAAGCUGUGAUGCAAGCCAGUGUCAAAUUUGGAGGACUGCGGACACAGCUGCUAUAUGGCCACCUCGUAUCCAUUUCCAAGUUCUGACAGCCAAGGGUGUGUGGUUCAAAAUUAUUUUUGUUCAAGACCUCUUCUACUGCAGUAUUGAUUUUAGUGAGCAGAGUUAAAGGGUGCAGAAUUCUUUCAUCUCCAUCCAAACACAGCAGAAGUUGAAAGCAUGCAGACUGGGCCUUUUGAAGACACCAAUACCAGCUGAACAUCUUGUGGGAAAAAUCUUUGUGCUUACAUGACUGUGCUGCUCUGUGUUACGUAUCUUGGAAACACAAGAUUAAUGUUGUGCAGGAAAUACUAUAACAGGCCAGAAAACUAAACAAACAGCAGUCAUUCCCCACUCUCAGCAAUUUCAUCAGCUUUCUGCUAUUGUUACAGAUGGCUCGACUAAAACCAGAAAGAAGUGAGUCUGAGGACCCCGCCCACAGCAAAACCUGCAGAGCAGCAUAAUGAGUAAGGAAAUCUCUGCAAAGUCUAUUAGAGAGUUCUCACCGAGAAGAGAAGGCAAUAUUCCCUUUUCUGUACAGAGACACAGCAAAUUCCUGUGCAUAUCAGCUACAGACUGAUGUCAAAGUGAUCCCAGGCAAUCAGCUGCAGAGCAAACCAUUCAGACACGGAGAUAUCUAACAAACUUGCACAAAAAAUUAUCCCUCGGGAGAAGCCUCAGGAAUAAUCACAUACAUUCUUAUUAUGAAAGAAGUUCGUUGCAGGAUUUUAAGGUUAAAUAACAUCAAGGCCCUCCCAAAAUAAAAACAAAACAGAUCAUCAGGGAAAUUGUUUCUGAUUGUUAGAAUAUCAGAAAACUGUUGCUGGUUCAAACACUCUAAAGGAGAUUUGUCUGAGAAACCAUGUGAUAAUUUAUUGGACAAUGACCUGUGCACACAACAAGCUGCCAUCUAGUUGCUAAUACUGGGGUCAGGAGGAGGGGAAGAAAAAAUUGCUAUGAUAGAGUGACCAUAGUAUUGCAAGCAGAAAGUUUAGCAAAUGAACUUAAAUUUCAUGAAAACGUCAUUCACAAAAAGAAAUUUUCUUUUCUGAAUUACAGACCAGGAGAGGUAUGUAUUCCUAAAACUUUACUUAAGAGUUUCAGGUACAUAUAAAGUUUCUGUAUGGAGAAUACUUCACAGUUUGCUCAGCAUGAAGAAUAGUGAUGAUGAUAAUCCUAAGCAGUCAUGGUUUGGUGUGCAUAUUGGAUUUGUGUGUAAAGGACUUGAUAGCAGGAAGGCUACAGGUGUGGCUUCUGUGAGCAGCUGCUAGAAGUUCCCCCUAUGCCUGAUGAAGCAAAUGCCAGCUGGCUCCAAGACCAGGGCACGGGUCAAGGCUCAGCCAUCAGCAAUGGGGUAGCAUCUCUGGGAUCCUUAGGAAGGGGGAAGGACCCUGAUCCAAUUUCAGCAGGAGCAGUCAGAAGUGAUGAAUGGGAAUGAGUGGAACAACUCUGCAGAUAAGGUCAGUGCAGAGGGAGGGAGAGGAAGGGCCGUAGGUGCAGGAGCAGAGAUUGCCCUGCAGCCUGUGGUGAAGGCCAUGGUGCGGCAGCUGUACCCCUGCAGCCCAAGGAAGUUCAUAAUCGAGCACAGACCCACUUGCGGCCCAUGAAGACCCUGUGGGAAGGCCAUGCUAGGGCAGGCUCCUGGAAGUACCUGCGCACCCUUGGAGAGAGUAACUUUGUGAAGCUGGUUUUUUAGCAUUACUGAUUACCCCAUAGGGGACUCAUGCCGUUCCUGACGGACUGCAGUCUGUUGAAGGGACCCAUGCUAGGGUAGCUCAUGAAGCAUUGCAGCCCAUGGGAAGAAUUCACAUUAGAGGAAUUACUAGAGAGCUCCUGUGGGAGGAGCACCAAGCUGGAGCAGAGUGAGCGUGAGGAGGAGGAAGGAGCAGCAGAGAUAUGUCUGACUGCAACUGACUGCAGCCCCCACUCCCCAUAGCCCUGCACUGCUAUGGAGGGAGGAGUUAGGAAAAUCAGAGCAAAGCUGAACCUUGGAAGAGGGAAGGGAAGGUGUUUUAAGAUUUAGUUUUCUCAUGAUCCUGCUCUGAGCAUAUUGGUAGUAAAUUAAAUUAAUUUUCCCCAAGCGGAAUCUGUUUUCUCUCUUUUGGUAAUUGUUGAGUGUCUCCCUGUCCUUAUCUUGACCCAUGGACUUCAGUUAUAUUUUCUCCUCUCUAUCUUGCUGAGGAGUGGAACAAUACAGUGGCUGUAGAGGGCACCUGAUAUCCAGGCAAUGUCAGCCCACCACAGGGUGUUUUAAGCAGGGUGAAAUUGUAUGUCUUGGUUUAAACUGAAAUUUAAAAAAUGCUAUAAGCAAUUCACGAAGAAGGAGAGAACAAAAUAAUGCUUAUUGGAAAAGGAUGGACAAGAAAAACAUGUAAAUAUUGUGUGAAACACAUGAGAGCAAAUCCAUUCUGAAAGUAAACACUGGUGGCAGUGUGAAGACUUGUCCCCGGGAUGUGAUGAACCCAGUGUCAAUUGUUAGUGUUAUUUCUGCCUUUAUUAUGUAUAUAUUAAAUUUAUGUACAAUUGAAUUCUUCAAGAACUAAUAAGCCACAACUGCAUGUGAAGUGUCAAUAGUAUAUCUAAUUAUUACCUUAUAAAACUAGGACUUACAACCUCUAGAAGAAAAGCAGAAUGAUAUAAGUUUUUCAUCAGGAAUUUGAGUUUCAGUUGAUAGAAUGGCAGACUAGUAAACCUGCACCCCCAUAUAUCAGUUUAUCUGUUAUUUUAUCUCUUCUAGAGUUGAGGCUUUUCUCCCCACCUUUACACACUCCAUUAGCUGCCAUUGUCCCAUUGCUGGCUUUUCAAACACAGUUAGAUCUUUUUCUAUCCUGUUUCUUGCAUAUGGAAGGAGAUCCCCAAGGUUGCAGUGUUUCUCUCUCCAGCUAAAUGCAUUUACUUUUUUCAUCAGUGAUGCUUCCAAAAAUCUGCAAUAGUUAUAUUACUGAUGAGCUGAGUAUCAAGAUGAUAACACAGUAUCUUUAUUGCCUGAACUGCUUCAUCUGGCUUGUUCCAUCUGUUGGUUCCUGUAGACUGCAAGACAUUUUCAGACAGGAUUGUAAUUUUUUUCUGUGUUUGUAAACAACAUAGAUCUGGGAUUCCAGCAGGGCUCUUAAGAGCUGGUAAACAGCAACAGCACCAAGCAGCAACAAAAUAAUGCAUGCACUAGAAAUAGUUUUGUUGGUGACUCUAUCUUAAACGGAGAAAAUGGUAAAUAUUUUUCCUAAUUUUUUUUGCGCCUCUUUUUUUAUAAUCAAGUGAAUGGUAUCAGCAUGAGUAAGCUAAAAGUGCUAUCAGCAUGAAUAAGUUAAAAGUGCUGGACUGAAGGGAUUUGUGGUUAACAUGUGGUUUAGAAGUUGCUUGAAUUAUUUUGAGAGAAACAGAUAAAUGAAAAUCAUAGGGAUUUGAGAGAACUUAAAUGGUAGCUGUAAUCUGUGCAGGUAGUCUUUAAUGAAUGGGAAAGGAAGUGAAGGUAGAAGGGGUAAUAUAUACAGUGGUAAAACACAGGAAAGAAGCAUUGUCUAAAGUAAACAGAUGGUUGUCAGAAAAUGUAGUGAGACAGAUCUAAGACACAAUAAAAAAUAGAAAGAAGAGUUUUGAGGGAAGUAGAAUCACAAAGUGGAAAUGGGUAUGGGGCAGUUAAGACCAUAAGAAUUUGAAAACAUUUAAGAUACCUGACUUCCGAAGAAAAUGUGGGAAAUUAAAUAAAUCAAGUACAGACUACUUCAGGAGUCAAUUAAAAGGCAGAAUAAAAAAAUUAAUAAAGGAUUGUUUUGUUUUUUAGAAAUAAAACAAAGGAGUCUGCAAAGAAAAAAUUAAAAGAACCAAAACUUUAAGUCAUUAUUAGUGUAGUUUGAUAUAAAAAAUAAAGAAAACAAAUGAAUCAUGUUUUACAUCAUUGUAAUCUAGAAAACCAUGUUCCACAUCUAAAUGUAAAAGGUGAAAAGAUGAUAAACUAUUGUUGAGAGUUGAAGCCCACUACUCAGGUAUUAACUUUGUUACACAUAUUACUGUUUUUGCCUGAUUUGGAUGCACACUUAUGUUAUAGGUAAAAGGAUAUAGGGAUAUAGUUUAUAGUUUAAAUUAGGAUAUAGUUCAAUUGUAUUGUAUUAAUUAUGUCACAUGAAUUGCAUUAUGUUAAGAGUGGGGAGAAUUAUUACAAUGCGCUAGGAGAAGGGUUUGGUGGAAGGGCGGUCUGGCGGGGCAAGGCGAGGUCGAAGCGGGAUUGGAUGGAAGAUCUGACCAAUCAUUUGAAGCCCUGCAGAAACGAUUGGUCCAGAAUGAACGGUGGUAAAGACCAAUGAGAAGCCAGAAAAGGGAUCAAUCACCAUGCGGAUCCAAAAUGGACCAGUCCUGGACUCGAACUGGGCUAUAAAUGGGGGAAGUUCGGUUAGAUUGAGGUUCUUGUUUUUGGAAACUUGUUUUCUGGGGAGAGCCCAGUGCACCUUUGGGUAGCGCACUGUUCUGUUUUUGGCUCGCUGUGUGGGUUCUUGGGCUUAUCCUGGGUACUCCGUUCCUUGCAGCUGUUUUAAUAAAUGAGAACCUCUUUCUCCAGAGAAAGUUUGGCCUUGUUCAUAUUCAUAACACUUACGUUAACAUGCAGAUACUCUCACAUACUGCUCUGGAUACGUUUUUCCAGUAGGUGUUUCAGAAUUUCUGGGAGGCAUCUUAGUAUGUAAGAGGACAGUAAUAACAGAUCAUUUGCAUCAGGUACAUGGUCUAUUUAAGACAUGUAUGUCAAGAGUAGUAGAACUAAAGGAAGCACUUUUGUAUGUCACUACAGUAUUAAUUUAUUAUUCAUACAGUACUCAUUUAUUCUUAACUUUAUGUUAAGGUUAUUUUCUAA